UUCUAAUGUAGUAAACUUUAAACAUUUUGGAUCAUAUGAUAAAAAUAAUCCAAGGGUUGGUUUCUAGAUGGACAAUAAUGGAUUGAUCCAGGUGACUCAUAUAUGAAGAACAAUUCUGGAGUAAAUCUUACAUAACAUUUCUCCCUCUCGACAAUCUUUUGAUAGAAUGACACAUCAGAGGCUUUCUGUAUAGAGAAAUAUUCAAAAGUGAAUGUUGAUGCAUGUUGUCUUAAAACUGUUUAUGUUGUCAAAAUGGUGAUGUGUAAAAUCAUGUGACAUAGGACUUCUUUGGUCAUACACGUCCUUUGGGUUGUCGGGAGAGAAGCCCACAUGGUUAGACAGAGGGAAUAUUUAUUCUGCAAAGCAGAAAGAAGAGAUAAAGAAGAAGAAGAAAUGGAAAAAAUAUGAUUUAUAAAUAUGAUUUAAUAUAAG